CAGCUGUAGGCACUCGCCACACUUGCCUCAAUCUCCUGGGAGACCCGGAGUCAGACUAGUUCAGCUCAGCUGCUCUCAAAUUCCUGGCCCGCAAAACCUGCAAGAGCUAAUAAACAACAUUGCUUUGAGGCAAGGUUUCAGUCUAUCAACCAGACUGGAGUUCAGAGAUGCCAUC
rnacentral:lncRNA from 1 species